AGAAACUAUCACAAACAUUUGCUUAUGACAUCACUGGGGAAGUAGGCAGGAAAAUUAGAUUGGAAGGAUGAACAUCUGCAGAAACACAUCUGCCAUCAGUAACCAAAUGACUGGGCUGCCACUUAAGAUACUCCAGCAGCUUAUCCCACUGGGAGGUUUUCAGGGGCAGUAACAUGCACAACCCUGUCAUCUAGGAUAAUGCGUUCUGGAAUAACUCCUGAAGGACCUGCCUGAGGCUCCUGAGGAGGGUGUCAUUCUUCUCAUAACCCAACCACUAGAGGGCUGGGCCAUAAACAGCAGCAGUUAUAAUCUACCGGCGCUGGAGUUGAACCUCGUUUAACCACUAACUGUGUGACCUUGGAUUAUACCAAAGGCGCGCAUUUAAAGAGAACACAACCACUGCUGGUGGAGGAGGGACACGUACUAAAGAAAGUUAAACAUGCCAAGUUCGCAGCUGUUUCUGCUACUGUUUCUUCUCUAUAGUAUGGCCUCUUUCUCCCAAAACUUUUUCAUAAUUAAAGCCAAUU